rfam:Pelodiscus sinensis unplaced genomic scaffold scaffold1011, whole genome shotgun sequence.
GCAGUGCCUUUGAGCAGGUACAGUCUCUCUCUAAUGGCUUCGCCAACUAAGCAGCACAGCAAGAGGAAAAGCUUCUUCAUAACCGGUGCUGCAUGGCUAAAGCCCGAGCAGCGCUUUUAAGAGUGAGGAACAAGU